GGGCGGCUAGCUCAGUGGAUAGAGCGUUGGUCUCCGGAACCAAAGGUCCCGGGUUCGAUCCCCGGGUCGCCCACCA
rnacentral:tRNA from 1 species